UCAGUCACCCCCAGGAGCUGCCCAUCUUUGCUCAAUCCCCAGGUGGGGAAAUCUUCGUUGAGCAAUCACUGAUGUCUCUGGAAACACAUGGCUGACAACCAAUGGAGUCAGGAUUUGAACCCAGCAGUCAGCAGCUUUCCCCAACUCCUGACAGGCCCUGCUCUACAACCUGACAAAGCAGCUCCCACAACCUGCCGUAGAGUGUGCUGACCGAGAUACAAGCGGAGAUCCAGGACACUGGGGCUCAUGAUCCUAGCCCCUUCCCUUCCCGAGGAGACUGCUAAGCCCAUCAACAGUCUCUCGGUCCCCUCAUCUACAACAUCCAAAUGGGCUGGCAUUAGAUGAGGCCCUGAUUGUUGCUUACACAAGUUCUGCUGGGCCGUGAGGCCACCACAGACCCCACAUGUGACCCAAUCUGUACAAGAAAAGCUGGACAAGUGUACGAGGGAAGGCCUUCAAAAGCUGCUGAAUACCCAGCUCCAAUGGCGGUCACCGGGGAGAGAUCCAAGUUCAAGUCCAGUGCAGUGACUGAAGUCCCCUCCAUGUAAGGGAACCAGAGUGCUGUCAUGGCCGCAGUGCUAGACCAAGACUGUGAGCAGACUGGCUUCCCUUCACCGGCCCAUGAACUCAGAGAACAGGGGUGGAAAGUCUGUGUCCUUCUCUCAGACUGAGAACAAAGUAAGACUGAAUGUGCGGUCCGAUGGGAUGAACAGUCCCCACUGUGCAUCUCAUGAACACGGACACCACCCAUGCCACACCCUGUGUUCUUCUUGGCUUGUGCCUAGGAGGGCUAGAGCCACAGCCUGCAUCAUCCCCCUGACAUACCUGGGACACCUACAGCUGACCUCUAUGACUCUACUCUGCUGGCCUUUCUCUUGCCAACCCUGAAUUCUCUGAGGCCUGCGUUCUCUCCCCAGUGACCCACCCACUUCCUCUUGGGAGACCAGCCGAGAACAGUGAGGCUUGAAGAACAUUUUAAUCCCAGCCCCAAAGAGAAAAUGACUACAAGCUCUGGAAUGCAGAGCCUGCUGCUUCCUGCAGGGCCUUCUGAAUGAAACACACGUAACCCACAGAGGCAGUGAGACAAGAGGCUACGGAGAGAUGCCACCCGGACUCCAAGCAGGCCGAUGAGCACAGCAAGCAAGCUCUUGACUUGGGCCUAAGCCCCAGUGCUCUGUUAGCCACCCUUCUCGCUCAGCUUCGAGGAACCAAACCCAGACACCAAGCACAUACAGAUUACUGUUGCUCCCUGUUCCCAGCACCUGAGUGGGUGGGGAAGAGGAGAAGACAUCCCCCACAUACCAUCCUCAAAGAGCACUGCAGAUCCCCCUCUCUGUUACCCCCAGAGCAGGUCACCAUGCUGCAACUCAGCUAGCUCACACCAUUUCAAGCAAAACACCAACGUGCUUCGACUGUCUCCGGGAAAAGUGGAGAUACACACUGGUCUUGAUGGUUCAGCUCCGUGACCUUGUUAGGUGCGUGCCCCAUCUGCAUAAGCACAGAAAGUCCCCUGGGGCCUCCUCUUACGGGCAUCUCCAUCCCUUUGAGUAACCACACGUACAGAUCUCUCUUGUGGUCAGUCAGUUAGCUUUGCCUGGCUUUGAACGCUACUCUCACGGGAUUGUGAGUAGUACGUGUAUGUGUUCCCGUGCCUGACUCCUGCUGCUGCCUACCUCAGACCUGCCUCUGGGCUUUCCAUGACCUGAGUGAGGAUCCUGCCUCCGCAUGGGACUUUGCCUCCCGUUCACCUUGACUUCCUUCUAGGACUGCAGCCACAACAUCCCCAGGUCCCUGCCUGUGCCUGAGUUCCUGUCGCAUAUCCUUGGCACGGAUCUUAAGGCCCCUGUCCUCACUCAGGAGGCCUUCCCAGUCUCCUCUCUCUGUGGAUUCCUCCAGGAGAAGAAUUAGACUCCCCAUGCUUCAAAGGUGUCACUGGGACAGCCCUCCUGCGCACUUUCUGCUGGGUAAUGUGAAGACUCCCAGCGUGAUUAUCCUAACAGAAGCCACCGGAAGAUAUACGAGCUUUUCCAUGAAGUCACUGUGUCAGAAGUCACUAUGUCACUUGCUACAUUUAGAGAACUUCUGGUGUACCCACAUCCCCAUCCAAGUAGAAAAAAGAGAACAGACAUGGUUUCUUUUCUUUUUUUUU
rnacentral:lncRNA from 1 species